rnacentral:rRNA from 1 species
CAUAAUAGUCUACUGCCAUGAACAAGCCGGAUCCUGUCAGUUCUCAGAGGCUAAGCAGGGUAGGGCCUGGUUAGCACCUGGAUGGGAGACCACCUAGGCAGACCGGGUACUGUAGGCA